CCUACGGGAGGCAGCAGUGAGGAAUAUUGGUCAAUGGACGAGAGUCUGAACCAGCCAAGUAGCGUGAAGGAUGACUGCCCUAUGGGUUGUAAACUUCUUUUAUAUGGGAAUAAAAUGUUCCACGUGUGGGCUUUUGUAUGUCCCAUAUGAAUAAGGAUCGGCUAACUCCGUGCCCGCCGCCGCGGUAAUCCGGAGGAUCCUAGCGUUAUCCGGAAUUAUUGGGUUUAAAGGGUGCGUAGGUGGUUUGUUAAGUCCGUUGUGAAAGUUUGCGGCUCAACCGUAAAAUUGCAGUUGAAACUGGCAGUCGUGAGUACAGUAGAGGUGGGCGGAAUUCGUGGUGUAGCGGUGAAAUGCUUAGAUAUCACGAAGAACUCCGAUUGCGAAGGCAGCUCACUGGACUGCAACUGACACUGAGGCUCGAAAGUGUGGGUAUCAAACAGGAUUAGAUACCCUUGUAGUC
rnacentral:rRNA from 1 species